rnacentral:rRNA from 1 species
AUUGAACGCUGGCGGCAUGCUUUACACAUGCAAGUCGAACGGUAACAGGCCGCAAGGUGCUGACGAGUGGCGAACGGGUGAGUAAUGCAUCGGAACGUGCCCAGUCGUGGGGGAUAACGCAGCGAAAGCUGCGCUAAUACCGCAUACGAUCUAUGGAUGAAAGCGGGGGACCGUAAGGCCUCGCGCGAUUGGAGCGGCCGAUGUCAGAUUAGGUAGUUGGUGGGGUAAAGGCUCACCAAGCCAACGAUCUGUAGCUGGUCUGAGAGGACGACCAGCCACACUGGGACUGAGACACGGCCCAGACUCCUACGGGAGGCAGCAGUGGGGAAUUUUGGACAAUGGGCGCAAGCCUGAUUCAGCAAUGCCGCGUGCAGGAAGAAGGCCUUCGGGUUGUAAACUGCUUUUGUACGGAACGAAAAGGCUCUGGUUAAUACCUGGGGCUCAUGACGGUACCGUAAGAAUAAGCACCGGCUAACUACGUGCCAGCCGCCGCAGUAAAAC